AAGCAGUGAGCAAGCAAAAGAAAAAGCAAAAGCAGAAAAAGGCAAAAGAAAAGAAAAGUGAGAAAAGAAAGAUUCAAAGAAGAAAAAGAAAGAGCUCACUACAAUGGAAGGCUGGGAAAAAGAUAAGAGAGUUGUUCUUAAAAGAAGAAUUCACAAAUGUCUUUGCUGACCAGAAAAACCAAUUUCCUUCUUAGCCCAGCCAAGUUACAAAGCCAUGAAAAGCCCUUGUGAUGACAACCUGUUUGUGAGUAUGUUUGAUUGUGAAUAAAUGAAAGGCAAAAUUAAUUUUUGUGACAUUGUAACAACAGAGAGAAACACCACACCCUACACCUG
rnacentral:lncRNA from 1 species